rnacentral:rRNA from 1 species
UAGCAUAUCAAUAAGCGGAGGAAAAGAAAAUAACAAUGAUUUCCCUAGUAACGGCGAGUGAAGAGGAAAGAGCUCAAAGUUGGAACCUGUUUGGCCUAGCUAAACCGGAUUGUAGACUGUAGAAGUGUUUUCCAGGCAAGCCGAGUAAAUAAGUCCUUUGGAACAGGGCAUCAUAGAGGGUGAGAAUCCCGUCUUUGGCUUGAGCAUUUGCCUUUUGUGAUACGCUUUCAAAGAGUCAGGUUGUUUGGGAAUGCAGCCUAAAUUGGGUGGUAAAUCUCACCUAAAGCUAAAUAUUGGCGAGAAACCGAUAGCGAACAAGUACCGUGAGGGAAAGAUGAAAAGAACUUUGAAAAGAGAGUUAAACAGUAUGUGAAAUUGUUAAAAGGGAACCGUUUGGAGCCAGACUGGCUUGUCUGUAAUCAAUCUAGGCUUCGGCCUGGAUGCACUUGCAGGCUAUGCCUGCCAACGACAAUUUGACUUGAGGGAAAAAACUAAGGGAAAUGUGGCCCACUUGUGGGUGUUAUAGUCCCUUAGAAAAUACCUUGGGUUGGAUUGAGGAACGCAGCGAAUGCUUUUUGGCGAGUUUUCCAGGAAGGUUUUCUGAGGUACUACGGUAUCAAGGUUGAUCUUUUUGGUUAUACUUCUAUUCGCUUAGGUUGUUGGCUUAAUGACUCUAAAUGACCCGUCUUGAAACACGGACCAAGGAGUCCACCAUUAGUGCGAGUAUUUGGGUGCCAAACCCAUAUGCGUAAGGAAACUGAUUGAUACGAAUCCAUUAAGGAGGCAGUAUCGUCCGGCGCUGACGUUUUAUACUGAAUUGACCGAGACAAAGCACUAAUGAUGGGACCCGAAAGAUGGUGAACUAUGCCUGAAUAGGGUGAAGCCAGAGGAAACUCUGGUGGAGGCUCGUAGCGAUUCUGACGGCAAAUCGAUCGAC